rnacentral:rRNA from 1 species
UGAGUGGCGGACGGGUGAGUAACGCGUGGGCAACCUGCCCUGUACAGGGGGACAACACUUAGAAAUAGGUGCUAAUACCGCAUAACGGGGGGAGCCGCAUGGCACCCCCCUGAAAACUCCGGUGGUACAGGAUGGGCCCGCGUCUGAUUAGCUGGUUGGCAGGGUAACGGCCUACCAAGGCGACGAUCAGUAGCCGGCCUGAGAGAGUGAACGGCCACAUUGGGACUGAGACACGGCCCAAACUCCUACGGAAGGCAGCAG